GAUGAACGCUGGCGGCGUGCCUAAUACAUGCAAGUCGAGCGAACAGAUAAGGAGCUUGCUCCUUUGACGUUAGCGGCGGACGGGUGAGUAACACGUGGGUAACCUACCUAUAAGACUGGGAUAACUUCGGGAAACCGGAGCUAAUACCGGAUAACAUUUGGAACCGCAUGGUUCUAAAGUGAAAGAUGGUUUUGCUAUCACUUAUAGAUGGACCCGCGCCGUAUUAGCUAGUUGGUAAGGUAACGGCUUACCAAGGCGACGAUACGUAGCCGACCUGAGAGGGGGAUCGGCCACACUGGAACUGAGACACGGUCCAGACUCCUACGGGAGGCAGCAGUAGGGAAUCUUCCGCAAUAGGCGAAAGCCUGACGGAGCAACGCCGCGUGAGUGAUGAAGGGUUUCGGCUCGUAAAACUCUGUUAUUAGGGAAGAACAAAUGUGUAAGUAACGGUGCACGUCUUGACGGUACCUAAUCAGAAAGCCACGGCUAACUACGU
rnacentral:rRNA from 1 species